GUAUAAUGGGUCAGCGACUUAUAUUCUGUAGCAAGGUUAACCGUAUAGGGGAGCCGCAGGGAAACCGAGUCUUAACUGGGCGUUAAGUUGCAGGGUAUAGACCCGAAACCCGGUGAUCUAGCCAUGGGCAGGUUGAAGGUUGGGUAACACUAACUGGAGGACCGAACCGACUAAUGUUGAAAAAUUAGCGGAUGACUUGUGGCUGGGGGUGAAAGGCCAAUCAAACCGGGAGAUAGCUGGUUCUCCCCGAAAGCUAUUUAGGUAGCGCCUCGUGAACUCAUCUUCGGGGGUAGAGCACUGUUUCGGCUAGGGGGUCAUCCCGACUUACCAACCCGAUGCAAACUACGAAUACCGAAGAAUGUUAUCACGGGAGACACACGGCGGGUGCUAACGUCCGUCGUGAAGAGGGAAACAACCCAGACCGCCAGCUAAGGUCCCAAAGUCAUGGUUAAGUGGGAAACGAUGUGGGAAGGCACAGACAGCCAGGAUGUUGGCUUAGAAGCAGCCAUCAUUUAAAGAAAGCGUAAUAGCUCACUGGUCGAGUCGGCCUGCGCGGAAGAUGUAACGGGGCUAAACCAUGCACCGAAGCUGCGGCAGCGACACUAUGUGUUGUUGGGUAGGGGAGCGUUCUGUAAGCCUGCGAAGGUGACCUGUGAGGGUUGCUGGAGGUAUCAGAAGUGCGAAUGCUGACAUAAGUAACGAUAAAGCGGGUGAAAAGCCCGCUCGCCGGAAGACCAAGGGUUCCUGUCCAACGUUAAUCGGGGCAGGGUGAGUCGACCCCUAAGGCGAGGCCGAAAGGCGUAGUCGAUGGGAAACAGGUUAAUAUUCCUGUACUUGGUGUUACUGCGAAGGGGGGACGGAGAAGGCUAUGUUAGCCGGGCGACGGUUGUCCCGGUUUAAGCAUGUAGGCUGAUUGUCCAGGCAAAUCCGGAUAAUCAAGGCUGAGGUGUGAUGACGAGGCACUACGGUGCUGAAGUAACAAAUGCCCUGCUUCCAGGAAAAG
rnacentral:rRNA from 1 species